ACGGAGGAAUGUUAAGCAUCAUUUGUACUACUACUCAAGAAAAAUAAAGAGAAAAAACCGAGAUUUAUAUCUCAAGCAUCCAAGCAAACUAAAGUUUCUUGACAGUCCACUGAGAUCAAGCUUAUAUGACAUCUUAUUUAUUAUAUAUUCAUACAUUGUAGUGCUUACAACACAGUCUGAUACAAGUCAUCACGUACUGCAGACAAAGGAGGCUUGCUACGUAUUGCUGUUGUUUAAAGCUUGCAGAGAGAGCUCCUUAGUUAUCUGGUUUUGGAGGAUGCAGCUUGUUCCAGGACUCCAGAUCGAUGGAGUGAUGGCCGUCAAUGCCUGAUCCAUGGUACUCGCUCCCGCCGCCAUAAGGGUUCGUUUCACCUGCGUCGUCUGCUCCAUUACCGGUAUCGCCGACGCCGUCGGGAUUCUCCGAGAGACGUCGGUCUUCGACACGAGUCAGAUCUCGCUGCUGAUGCUGCAUAAGGACCUUACGGUGAUGUAUACCUUUGCUGGUUGAUCCCGUUGCAGCUGCUGCGGAGGAAGCUAUCAGAUAAAUUAGCAGCAGGCUGAAGAGCUUCAUCACUUACCUUGUUCUAUCUUCUCCUGCUAAGUUCUUGUGAUUGCAGGUUACAUGGACUUGUAGAUCUCGUUUGCUGGAUCGAUGAAUUUAUAUAGACGUGAAAGUUCAGAACAGUAAAA
rnacentral:lncRNA from 1 species